GAUGAACGCUGGCGGCGUGCCUAAUACAUGCAAGUCGAGCGAACAGAUGAGGAGCUUGCUCCUCUGACGUUAGCGGCGGACGGGUGAGUAACACGUGGGUAACCUACCUAUAAGACUGGGAUAACUUCGGGAAACCGGAGCUAAUACCGGAUAAUAUAUUGAACCGCAUGGUUCAAUAGUGAAAGAUGGUUUUGCUGUCACUUAUAGAUGGACCCGCGCCGCAUUAGCUAGUUGGUAAGGUAACGGCUUACCAAGGCAACGAUGCGUAGCCGACCUGAGAGGGUGAUCGGCCACACUGGAACUGAGACACGGUCCAGACUCCUACGGGAGGCAGCAGUAGGGAAUCUUCCGCAAUGGGCGAAAGCCUGACGGAGCAACGCCGCGUGAGUGAUGAAGGGCUUCGGAUCGUAAAACUCUGUUAUUAGGGAAGAACAAACGUGUAAGUAACUAUGCACGUCUUGACGGUACCUAAUCAGAAAGCCACGGCUAACUACGUG
rnacentral:rRNA from 1 species